UAGGGAAUCUUCGGCAACGGGGGGAACCCUGACCGAGCAACGCCGCGUGAGUGAAGAAGGUUUUCGGAUCGUAAAGCUCUGUUGUUAAGGAAGAACGAGUGUGAGAAUGGAAAGUUCAUACUGUGACGGUACUUAACCAGAAAGGGACGGCUAACUACGUGCCAGCAGCCGCGGUAAUACGUAGGUCCCGAGCGUUGUCCGGAUUUAUUGGGCGUAAAGCGAGCGCAGGCGGUUAGAUAAGUCUGAAGUUAAAGGCAGUGGCUCAACCAUUGUAGGCUUUGGAAGCUGUUUAACUUGAGUGCAGAAGGGGGGAGUGGAAUUCCAUGUGUAGCGGUGAAAUGCGUGGAUAUAUGGAGGAACACCGGUGGCGAAAGCGGCUCUCUGGUCUGUAACUGACGCUGAGGCUCGAAAGCGUGGGGAGCGAACAGG
rnacentral:rRNA from 1 species